GCAAAAGAGGCUUCAAAACAAAACAGAACAAUGAGAUAGAAUGACCGGACGUGGGAUGGGGGAACUAUUUUAGAUUUGGUGGCUUCUGAAGAGAGGACAUUUAAGCUGCUAUAUGAACACCAAGGAACCAACCUUCUGAAGAUCUGUGGUUAUGUCCCUGGCAGAGGGAACACUAAGAGUUGUACACUCAAAGCAAAUCUGUGUGGGGAUGAAGAGUCAGGAUCCAAUGGCCAUCUGUUUUACCAACAGGAGAAAAGGAGCUCCCACACUGGUAGAGUAUUCCCAGCAUGGUUUGACAAUGGGAUUUAAUCAGGCUUCAAGGCAAAACUUCAAAGGUUUGAGUGACAUCAGCAUCAUGGCGGAGUGAGCUGUUGCCUGAUAUUCUCCUGUCUGGUAUACAAAAGAGGAUAUUUAGAUACUAACAGAGGACAUUCACACAGCACAAAAGAUGUCUCAGAGAUGAAAGCAGCCACAUGUCUGAAGGUGGAGGUACUGGAUCCCUUGGAGGAAAGGGAAGGAGCUCUGAUCAGGGUGACCCUGGCAUCCUUCAUGGAAGUCCCCAGUCCCUUACAGGCUGGGCCUCUCUCCCAUUCACUUCUCUGCUGGUCUGACUUCCACACCUUCUGUACUGGUCUCUCCUUGUGUAACCAGAUCAACCCUGAGCUAACAUCUGUUGCCAAUCCUCCUCUUUUUGCUGAGGAAGACUGGCCCUGAGCUUACAUCCAUGCCCAUCUGCCUCUACUUUCUAUGUGGGACACCUAUCACAGCGUGGCGUGCCAAGUGAUGCCAUGUCCGCACCGGGAUCCAAACUGGUGAACCCCAGGCCGCUGAAGCGGGACAUGUGAACUUAACUGCCAUGCCACUGAGCCGGCCCCGGAACUCAGACAUUCCUGAAGCCUGAGGACCUCAGGGCAGGUUUCUUGACCAGCCUGAACUGGUUCUGGCCACAGCUGUCCACAUCAAGUUCUGGGUCCUGACAGCACUGCUUGGACCAAACACAACAAGGCUGACAGGAUGGAAACCUGAAAAUAGUAACUUUAUAGCUUCAAGAAGGAAGAAAAUCUGUGAAUGUACUGAAAGCCAUUGAGAUGUACGUCAUCAAUGGGAGAAGUGUAUGAUUUCUGAAUUAUAUCUCAAUAAAGUUGUUUUCAGAAACAUAAGGAACUCUUAUUUAAUAGGAGCCAUGGGAGUUAGACUGGCUCCUGGAAGCCUUGUCAAGAUCCUGCUUCAAGAUAUGGAAGUGUAGGGUCCAUUUCAUUUUUGGUUUGUUUUCCUGUAAGUACAUGGUUCAUAUAUGUGAAAGUUGGCAGCCCUGGGAGCAGUGGUAUCGAAGCAUUGGUGUUGGUACUAGUCUGUUAAAAAGUGGGAUGUCAUUUGUGCUCUGUGCUUUCUAGAUUGUUGGCCUUUAGCAACUUCUGAGUCAUCCCUUCCUUUUGCUCUUGGAAGCUGCCCCCAGGGACUCUGUGUCCAACCAGCAUGAUGGGAGCCCUUGAGAAGUCCCUCACAAAAUAGGUGGCUGCAUCCUGCUGGGAUGUUUAUAAUGGGGAAAUCAUUAGGAGUGACAUGACCAACAGGUGAAUGAGUUGUGCUUUCUUUAGUAAAGUGUUCACGUCCAGAGUGUUGAUUUAUGCAAAGCUAAAAGGGUCCUUAAUGUCCUUAGGCUUGUCCAAAUAUAAAG
ensembl:lncRNA